UGCCAGCCGCCGCGGUAAUACGAAGGGUGCUAGCGUUGUUCGGAAUUACUGGGCGUAAAGAGCAUGUAGGCGGAUGAAUUAGUCAUAGGUGAAAGCCCCGAGCUCAACUUGGGAACUGCCUUCAAUACUGUCAGUCUUGAGUCCGAGAGAGGUGAGUGGAAUUCCUAGUGUAGAGGUGAAAUUCGUAGAUAUUAGGAAGAACACCAGUGGCGAAGGCGGCUCACUGGCUCGGUACUGACGCUGAGGUGCGAAAGCGUGGGGAGCAAACAGGAUUAGAUA
rnacentral:rRNA from 1 species